rnacentral:rRNA from 1 species
GAUGAACGCUGGCGGCGUGCUUAACACAUGCAAGUCGAACGGGAAACCUUUUAAAGAAGCUUCGGCAGAUUUAGCUGGUUUCUAGUGGCGGACGGGUGAGUAACGCGUGGGUAACCUGCCUUGUACAGGGGGAUAACAGUCAGAAAUGACUGCUAAUACCGCAUAAGCGCACAGGACCGCAUGGUCCAGUGUGAAAAACUCCGGUGGUAUAAGAUGGACCCGCGUUGGAUUAGCUGGUUGGUGGGGUAACGGCCUACCAAGGCGACGAUCCAUAGCCGGCCUGAGAGGGUGAACGGCCACAUUGGGACUGAGACACGGCCCAGACUCCUACGGGAGGCAGCAGUGGGGAAUAUUGCACAAUGGGGGAAACCCUGAUGCAGCGACGCCGCGUGAAGGAAGAAGUAUCUCGGUAUGUAAACUUCUAUCAGCAGGGAAGAA